UACGUAGGGAGCAAGCGUUGUCCGGAAUCAUUGGGCGUAAAGCGCGCGUAGGUGGCUUCGUAAGUCCGUUGUGAAAGUCAAAGGCUCAACCUUUGAAUGCCGACGGAUACUGCGGAGCUAGAGUACGGAAGAGGCGAGUGGAAUUCCUGGUGUAGCGGUGGAAUGCGCAGAUAUCAGGAGGAACACCAAUAGCGAAGGCAGCUCGCUGGGACGUUACUGACACUAAGGCGCGAAAGCGUGGGGAGCGAACAGG
rnacentral:rRNA from 1 species